rnacentral:lncRNA from 1 species
GAAGACAUUCCAAAACCGCCACAACUGAGUCAACAUCGUAGAAGUGUGUAUUGGAGGUUGACUGCGAAGGAAAGAGUAAGUCACUCACUCUUGCUUCCUCAAACUGCAGACUUGAUCUCCGAAUUAUUUCAGUUUUUGUCAUUGAUGACACUGCUAAAUAGUUUGCUAUGUUAAGGAGUCUGAGCAAGAAGCCAACUGAAACUGAUCCCCGAUCUGAAGGAAUCAUGCCGACUAUUUUCUCGAGAAUUUGUCGACUCUUUUCCAUAUCUUCUUUGCUCUGAGAAAUCUUAGUCUCUGAAGGCUUGACAUUUGCAGAAUCAGGUAGCCAACGACAGGCAUAGACGUGCAGGGCUUCCCCGAUAAGUUGUGGUGGUAGAAUGUAUGUAGAUCUAACAGCCAAAAUUAUACAGCGGAACAAUUCAAUGUCAAGAUCUGACAAAUCCUCAGUCCACCAAUCUUUUGGGACACUUUGGUUGUUCUUUUUCGUGUAACCUGGUCUUGUAUAAGUGUAGGACCAUGAUACCUGCAAAGAAUCAUCUUAUGUCAGUAGCAAUUCCAAGAAGAAUGAAUCCCAGACCCAAUUUUUGCCAUGUCUAUUCCUCUCUCAGUCUAAUAUCAAGAGCAUUGAAUGCUACUUCUUGAACUAUACAAUGAAUAAAUAUCCAAGCUGACAUGUAUUAAGAAUAAGUUAAUAGUUGAAUUUGUAUUAAUUCAAUAACUUCAAACAUUGGGGUUAAUAUAUGGUACUUCACCAUUAGGAAUUCAUCUUUUAUCUAUUAAAAAAUUGCUGAUUAACCUUUGAAUGUGGUGUUAGGAUUUUCUCUACAAUUGAAUCAAUGCACUUUCUGACAAUUCCAAGAUUCUCAGACCAGUCGGGUAACUUUACGGUGCUUUGUAGGGUAAUAAUGGAAUCCUUCCAGCCAACAAGAAUGCAAGAGUGGAGGAAAGACUCGAGCUUCAGAACAAGAUUGCCCUUUUCCGCUGCUUCGGUCAUGCGGAGGAACUUAGCAGCACAUAAUGCGGGCACGAGAUUAUGGGCACUG